CGAAAGCCUGACGGAGCAAUACCGCGUGGGGGAUGAAGGCUCUUGGGUUGUAAACCCCUUUUCUCAGGGAAGAAAAAAUGACGGUACCUGAGGAAUAAGCAUCGGCUAACUCCGUGCCAGCAGCCGCGGUAAUACGGAGGAUGCAAGCGUUAUCCGGAAUGAUUGGGCGUAAAGCGUCUGUAGGUGGUUUAGCAAGUCUGCCGUUAAAGGUCGGGGCUCAACUCCGAAAAGGCGGUGGAAACUGCUAGACUAGAGUGUGGUAGGGGUAGAGGGAAUUCCCGGUGUAGCGGUGAAAUGCGUAGAUAUCGGGAAGAACACCGGUGGCGAAGGCGCUCUACUGGGCCACAACUGACACUGAGGGACGAAAGCU
rnacentral:rRNA from 1 species